UGGGGAAUAUUGGGCAAUGGGCGAAAGCCUGACCCAGCGACGCCGCGUGGGUGAUGAAGGCCUUCGGGUUAUAAAACCCUUUCGUGCGGAAAGAAUAGUCCUGUAGCGAAUAACUACGGGAUUUGACGGUACCGCAGGAAGAAGCGCCGGCUAACUCCGUGCCAGCAGCCGCGGUAAUACGGAGGGUGCAAGCGUUGUUCGGAAUUAUUGGGCGUAGAGGGCGCGUAGGUGGUUGUGAUAGUCAGAUGUGAAAUCCUUCGGCUCAACCGAAGAACUGCAUCUGAAACUUCAUAGCUCGGGUACAGGAGAGGGAAACGGAAUUCCCGGUGUAGAGGUGAAAUUCGUAGAUAUCGGGAGGAACACCAGUGGCGAAGGCGGUUUCCUGGCCUGAUACUGACGCUGAGGCGCGAAAGCGUGGGGAGCAAACAG
rnacentral:rRNA from 1 species